UUUCCCAAAAAAAAUAGCGAAAUCUUUUCCCCUCGCACACAAUAUGAGUGACAAAUACACCAUAUUAAAAUUGCCAUACGAUUUGACAGAUAAACUGUCAAAUAAAUAUUGCGAAUG